UACGUAGGAGACGAGCGUUGUCCGGAAUUACUGGGCGUAAAGCGCGUGUAGGCGGGCGUGCAAGUCUGCUGUGAAAGCUCCUGGCUUAACCGGGAGUGGUCGGUGGAAACUGCACACCUGGAGGACGGUAGAGGUAGGUAGAAUUCCCGGUGUAGUGGUGAAAUGCGUAGAUAUCUGAAGGAACAUCAGUGGCGAAAGCGACUUCCUGGACCAAUACUGACGCUCAUGUGCGAAAAGCGUGGGGGAGCAAACAGG
rnacentral:rRNA from 1 species